ensembl:lncRNA
GCGCCUCCGCACCGCGCCACCCCCCUCAACCACCCGCGGGAGCCGCCCCUCGCCAAAGGACGGCCCCCCCAGCAUCCCCUCCCCGCCCGUCCGCCGUUACCUCUCGGCCGAGCCCGGCUCCCCCCAGCGUGGGCCGCGUGGGUCGGUUCCCCGUGUCCCGCCGGGGGGAUGCGUGGGGAUGGGGGCGGCGGUCGUCACGGGGCUCCGGAGCCUGGAGGAAAGUUGGAGGCGCGGUGAUGUGCCCCAGCGGACCGGAGAGAGCGGCUCCGGCACCCGUGCGGCGUGGGAGAACCGCAGACGGCUUUGGCUCUUGAAGAUUAGGCUGCGUUAAUUAAGGAAAUAUUUUAAGCCGAAAGGUCUCUUGAGAAGAAGCGCGUUAAGCCGCUCGUAAAAGCGGGGAGGAACGCAAGGCGAGGCAGCGCCGUUCGAGCGGCGAGCACAAAGGAGGCGAGAGCGCAAGUGGGUGUUACAGGAGCUCCGGUGAGCGCUGCUCGCACCGCUGUACCCGACGCCGAUCGCCCCGCUGUGCUCGCAGUGCUUCCGGCCACAGAACGGGUACCGUUGGCAGUGCAAUUGUUGCGAUCCUUCCUCGCCUUGCUGAGCGCUUAAUAACACCUCGCAGCGUAUUUUACUGCCUUUGUUCGGAUCGAACAGCGUUUUACUUUGCGAAUAGCCUAAGUAAGUUUUCACGUACAGAUAACUGCACCGCUUAGGUAACGUUCAUCGCGCCGGAUCUGUGCUUUAAGUGUGGGGAAAGGCAUCCGGGACCGAAGCUUGACUGUGCCCACAUUUAGGAAGCAUAAGAUGAUGAGAACAACGCGCCUGCAAAAGGCAUGCCUGCAAAGUGAGGAAACAAGCGUGGAGAGCAACGCAAAUAGUAGCAAAGCCAAAGCAGUGCAGUCGGCUGAACUGAGAUGCGGCUUUGGAAAUAGAAGGGGAGAAAUGGAUGUGAAAGGAAAGCACCAUCAGGAACGGGUUAACGUUCCGAAAGAUGAGUGUUGAGCUAACUCUACGUGCCAAAAGCAGAUGACUGUAAAGCCCGGAGUUCAUCCACUUAUUUAUAUCACUUAACUGAGAAGUUUCAUGAGUUGCAGCACAAUUAAUGAAUAAAAAUAACAUAUAUAUAUAUAUAUAUUUUCCUCUCAGCCUUGGACGUUGGGAAAACAGGUUUCAGACCUGGAGCUAAUUGCUGCAAAAAUAGAAAAAUCAGCUUUCAUGGGAUCAUACUCAGUUGGAAGGGAGCCUUCGGGGCCAUUUAAUCUAACUCCCGUGCAAUGAACAGAGACACCUACAGCUCCAUCAGGUUGCUCAGAGCCCAAUCCAGCCUGACCUUGAGUGCCUUCAGGGAUGGGGCAUCAUCGGUGUGAUGAAUGCCAUGAUGCAACCAGGCUGUUUGUCUCACACACAUGACAUAAAGGCAACAAAAAAUGCUGUUGAUAGGGACUGCAGUGUAGGAUACACAUAUAUUGGCUCUACUGACACCCCGCUUCUUGAGGGAUAUUCCGGUGUACUUCCAUCAAAAACUCUGAAUGUAUGCAUCCAUCUAUAAAAUGAUGUGCUGGCUCACACAAUGAACCACAAGCACAUGUUUGAAGAAACAAAGGAAAAGGUGGAUACAGCUCUCUCAAGUUUUUAAUUAAUUUAAUUAAUUUUAAAGUAGGAUUUAAUUUAAUUGAUUUUUAAAGUUUAAUUCUGUAGAGCUCUCCAGAAUCUCCCAUCUGUCACUAUUGAAAAACAUGCAGUUCUUCAGUGGGCUUAUUUUUAAUAUAGGUGAAAUAGGAUUUCAAUCUGGAGUAGAAUGUAAAUGAACAGCAUAAAUUAAGUGGACGGUACAGGAAAGCUCUAAGAUAUUCUGCAUGGGAGACUGAGGUUGUUUAAAUGCUGUAUCAGGAGAGCUCGUCACCCAGAGACUCUCCACCUUUUCAGCAGUUCCAGAAUGAGUUCUUGGCUUGGUGGCAGAUAAUGCCGCUCGAGCACAAUUUUUAUUGACUGCAGUGGGAGCUGUACCUACACAUCUAAAUGUAAAAAUUAUCUACAGGAGGCAGGUGGAGUUAGUCUGCAAUCUGCUACGGUUUGCUUAUGCCUUUGACAUUUUGCUUUUGGCUUAGGCUUUUGGAUGGAAGAGCUCUGCAUCCUGCAUUUCUCACCUUUGGCCUGAUUCUGUCUUCCAUUACAAUGGUGUAAUUAAGAACAUCUUCCCUGGAAAUCAGGAAAGGAAUUGGGAUAAGGUCUGCGAGAUCAGCAUCAGGCCCUGCUGAUGCUAAAGCAGCCUGCAGGAAGGUCUGAGAUCAAAGUGAUUGCAGGAGAGUCAGGAUGGUAAAGAAUUCAUUCUCACGUGUUCACGGGUUGAAGAAUUUGUCUUUGGUAUAAAUGGAUAACAAUAGGGUAGAGUUACACACAGAUGCUGCUUCUUUGUUAUUGAGUUUAACUACUGCUAUAGGUGCAUCUAUCACUUUGUUUUGUUACAGUGUUAGAGCACUGCAUAUAAAUAAAGGGGAUAAAUAACCUGAUUUACUAUGGCUAAGAGUCACAGUAUAUUAAAAAUUGUGACACAGAGAAAGCUUUCGCUUCUCUUGGAAAAAAGUUUUACAACGGAUCUUUGCAGUCAUCAUUUAAACUGGCAGGGUACAGUGCACAAAGAUCCUUAAAGACCUGGCACAAACUCAUUCAGCCCUUUCAAAGCAUGUCCAUGGCCACUACAGCUCCAUCGAAAUAGAAGGGAAAUUUUCUCUCGACUUUAUCAAAUUUUACCUGAAUAAUUGUGAUUUUGUUUUAGUGUUAUGCUGUUCUGAACAAAAUUGGGGCUAGUAAGGUUGCUGCAGUGAGCAGGAGCCUCCCAACUACACUUCACCUGCUUCUUCUUGUUCCUUGUUCAUACAAUCAUGGACUCAUUAAGGUUGGAGAGACCAUUAAGAUUAUCUAGUCCAGCUGUCAACCCAUCUCCACACUGCCCAUUAAUCCAUGUCCCUCAGUGCCACAUCCACAUGUUUCUUGAACACCUGCAGGGUCAGCUACUGGGCAACCUGUUCCAGUGCAUCACCACUCUUGUGGAGAAUAAAUGUUUC